rnacentral:lncRNA from 1 species
AUGUCAGACCGUGGAGGCAAGCUGCCUGUGGUUAUCUUGUACUUAUUACCUGCUUUAUCUUCCCUUUUGCCCCAACAAAUUUCCCUUUUCCCCAUAUUUGUAUGUCCUUGUGGUUUUGCGACAUUUUACCUGUCUGUACAGUGUGAGUGCCUUGAGUUGUUAGAACAGAACAAUUUUUUCAAAGGAACCCAGGAAAAAUUACAACUUUGGUUGUAUUCCCGUAGGAUUGUGUGCCUAGAUGCUCCCUUGGACAUAUCUGAAAAUGUUAGCCAAGGGAGAAGCCACUUCAGAGAAGAACUUCUGGGGCUCCACACUGGUGCAUGUUGGCCCCCUGCAUAGGCUGGUGCCUCAUCCCUUCUGAGUAAGAGGAGGACGGAAGAUCUUGGAGAAGGAAGAAAAGAAUGGGAGGAAGCAAGCAGCAUUGCUGGAGUGGCAUGCACAGGUCUGCUUGUGUGGUAGGCCGAUGCUGUGGUGGCCCUGUGAGGCAACUAAUUCACCUUCUCCAGGCCAAACAGUCCAACAAUUCAAGGAGAUGGUGAGAGAGCUAGGACCGUUCAGCCUGGAGAAGAGGACGCUCAAGGGAAACUCAUCAAUGUGUAUAAUACCUGAAGGGAGAGUGCAAAGAGAGCAGAGUCAAUCUCUCUUCAGUGGUGGCCAGUGCCAGGACAAGACGUGAUGAAACACAGGAUGUUCCAUCUAAAUGUCAGGAAACACUUAUUUACUGUGUGAGUGAUGGAGUGCUGGCACAGGCUGCCCAGAGAAAUGGAGUCUCUUCCUUGGAGAUGUUCAGAAGCUGCUUGGACAUGGCUCUGGUCACGCUGAUCUAAGUGUCCCUAUUUAAGCAGGAGUUGGACUAGGUGGACGCAGAUGUCCCUUCCAAUCCUGGCCAUUCUGUUGUUAUACUUUCCAUUUGCUCCCCUUUUCUCACUCCAAAGUGCCAGUAAGGAAGGGGAAAGUUUGUCCCAAGGUGAACUGCUCCUCCUGCUGAUUUAAAAACCCAAAGCCCAGCGAUCAGGAACGGUAUACUUUCCAUCAUUUAUGACGUUGUUGUCUUCUCAUCUUUCCCUUUUCUAAGUGUUAUGUAGGCUGUGAAAGUAAAAUUCUGAACAUUAUGGUACUGUAGGCACUCUGUGUACAUAGAGAAAUUGGAGGAUUAAGAGCGAGAAUGACUGAGUGGUAGAGCCUUGUAUAAGAAAAUGACAGAUGCCCUGGUUUAAAAGGUGACAAUUUGCCUAUGCAGUUAAAUGGUUAUGUCAAGGCAUCAGGAAAUUUGGGAACUUGAAUGCAGAGAAGGAAGCAUUUGAAAACGCAGUCUGCCUUGAGCUUCUGAAGUAGCCUCCGAGCUCCAGAACUGAUGUUUUGUAAUUUUGCCUUAUCAUCUGCCUGGGUUUAUCAUGGUGGUAAUAGGGAUAAUGACAGAGAGUCAGUCAUUUCCACUUAGAUGCCAGUUUUUAAGUAAUAAUAAGCUCACAGCGGGUUCGAUUUGGUCUGUGCUGAGAGUACCUGGGGUUAUUUUCCCUUUGCUUUCUCAUGGUAAAUUAUCUCAGCCCACCAGGGCCAAGCUGAUUUUCUAGCUGUAAAAACAGAGAAGACGAACAUGCAGCAGCACACUAUACACUUAGCUGCUUCCUCCUUUGUUGUUUUCUUUAUGUUAUUUAGGAAGAGAAAAUUCUCUGAGUCACCCGUUAUGGUUUGAAUCCAGGUCAUAAAAAGAAGAGUAAACUAAUAGUGGACUGUCUUCCCUAACCCCCUCACCCCAUGCAUCUCUCCUCUGUAUUGCAGUCCCUAAUGGGAGCAUUUAAAACCAGUGCUUAUGAUAAUGCCCUUGUUCCCAUGGACACCACAGCACUGCAGAACCAAGAUUAAUGGAGGACCAUUGAGACUGGUCCUAAAAGAUUGUCCCUCUUGUGUAUUAUGGUCUGUCAUGCUGCAUCCAUUAGCAGAGGAGCGGAGGGUCCUCAUCGUGUUGGUAUCACUGGGACCAAAUCGAGCUACAGCAAGAUGGCAUUUCCAUAGCACAUCAACAGAUCAUUUCACCACUGCUUAAGGCAUCGUAAAUUGGACUUAUAGCUCAGCUGCUGGCAUAAAUAAGUCCCUUUGAUAGUUAGUGGAAGACGUUAUGACACUCCAGGGUACAGGAGGGGACAUUGGCACUGUCAUUUUUUUUCUCCAGCCCUGGCACCCUGGUGCCUCUGAUCUUUCUGAAGAUUCAGGGCACGCGCUCUUCAUUACGGUUUGGGCACCAGGGACUUGUUUUUUUUGCAAGAUUAAUGAGCGCCACGGAAAUUCUCCAGCGCAUCUCGAUAAUUAAGUCUUUGUUUAUCAAAAAACAAGUUAUAUUAGGAGCAGAAAAUUCGCAGUAAUUAUUCAUAAUUCUAACAAUUCAAGUAUAGCUACCUCAUUUGCCUGGGUAAUUCUGCUUUUUAAUUUCUUGCAUACAUUUGCAUAUUAAUUUUGCCCGUCGGCUGCAGCAGGCUUUGACAGUUUGUUACUAUGUGAUGGUUUUCACAGGGGUGCGACUCAGUUGGGUGGCAUUUCGACUGGGUGCAAUGAUAAAUUAUGAAUUUUCUAAUUUGCUGCAUAAUGAAGUAACCCCUUCCAACCCAAUUAAAAAAAAAAAAAGCCAAGAUCGUGUCUUUUAAAUAAUAUUUCCCAGGUAUUUCAUCUCUCCGUUUUUGUUGUUGUUGUUGUUUUGCAAGCAUGUUUUUUUCACUUAAAAAGCAGAUGACUGCAUUUGCAGCCUUUCAGAAUGACUGUGCCUUUCCAUACAUCAAACAUGAUUCAUGAUUCAUAUAUCCCUAGACUAUAUUCAUGCUGUAAAUUGGCCACUCCUCAAGCCUCAGGGCAAUCACGGAUGAUAGCAAAGAAGUCCCAGUUUCUUCUCUGAUGUCCAAUUUGGGCUGUAGUGAUCUGUGUGUAUGAGUCUGUCUGUCUGUGUGUCGGGGAGCAGGGAUUUCAAAUGAGGGAAAUAAAUGAUGUGUGUUUGUUUUACA